UACGGGGGGAGCAAGCGUUGUUCGGAUUUACUGGGCGUAAAGGGCGCGUAGGCGGCGCCGCAAGUCGACUGUGAAAUCUCCGGGCUUAACCCGGAAAGGUCAGCCGAUACUGCGGGGCUAGAGUGCAGAAGGGGCAACUGGAAUUCUCGGUGUAGCGGUGAAAUGCGCAGAUAUCAGGAGGAACACCGGUGGCGAAGGCGGGACUCUGGGCCGAUACUGACGCUGAGGAGCGAAAGCGUGGGGAGCAAACAGG
rnacentral:rRNA from 1 species